UACAAUGGAGAGUUUGAUCCUGGCUCAGGAUGAACGCUAGCGGCAGGCUUAACACAUGCAAGUCGAGGGGCAGCACAGGUAGCAAUACUGGGUGGCGACCGGCAAACGGGUGCGGAACACGUACACAAUCUACCUUUAUCUGGGGGAUAGCCCGAAGAAAUUCGGAUUAACACCCCAUAAAAUAACAGAGUGGCAUCACUUAAUUAUUAAAACUCCGGUGGAUAGAGAUGAGUGUGCGUCCCAUUAGCUAGUUGGUAGGGUAACGGCCUACCAAGGCGACGAUGGGUAGCUGGUGUGAGAGCACGACCAGCCACACGGGCACUGAGACACGGGCCCGACUCCUACGGGAGGC
rnacentral:rRNA from 1 species